UAACAAGCAUACUGGAUGUAACAAGAUAUGCAGCUAAAAACAUUAAUCAUAUUAAAACUAAUUAAAAACUGAAAAGUUUCUGUGCAUUCCAAGCACUGGGGGCGGGAGGGGGCGGGGAGGGCUUUGGACUGAGCACUGGCGUUUCCUGAGCACAAGCAAAUGCCUGACACAUGGACUUUGCCGAAUUCCAAAAUGUAGCAAAACAGUGCCUGCAUAUUUGGCAGGAAUCACCACCAGUUCAGAUCUGCUAUGCUGGCCAUCAUGUUGGCACCUGGGCAACUUACAUAAAUUAAAACAGUGUAUUAAGAAAAUAUGACUCCUUUGGGAAUAAAAGUG
rnacentral:lncRNA from 1 species